rnacentral:rRNA from 1 species
UACGAAGGGGGCUAGCGUUGCUCGGAAUCACUGGGGCGUAAAGGGUGCGUAGGCGGGUCUUUAAGUCAGGGGUGAAAUCCUGGAGCUCAACUCCAGAACUGCCUUUGAUACUGAAGAUCUUGAGUUCGGGAGAGGUGAGUGGAACUGCGAGUGUAGAGGUGAAAUUCGUAGAUAUUCGCAAGAACACCAGUGGCGAAGGCGGCUCACUGGCCCGAUACUGACGCUGAGGCACGAAAGCGUGGGGAGCAAACA